rnacentral:rRNA from 1 species
GCCAUUACUGACGCUGAGAAGCGAAAGCGUGGGGAGCGAACAGGAUUAGAUACCCUGGUAGUCCACGCCGUAAACGUUGGGCGCUAGGUGUGGGUCCCAUUCCACGGGGUCCGUGCCGCAGCUAACGCAUUAAGCGCCCCGCCUGGGGAGUACGGCCGCAAGGCUAAAACUCAAAGGAAUUGACGGGGGCCCGCACAAGCGGCGGAGCAUGCGGAUUAAUUCGAUGCAACGCGAAGAACCUUACCAAGGCUUGACAUGUACCGGAAACCCUCGGAGACGGGGGCCCCGCAAGGCUGGUACACAGGUGGUGCAUGGUUGUCGUCAGCUCGUGUCGUGAGAUGUUGGGUUAAGUCCCGCAACGAGCGCAACCCUCGUUCUAUGUUGCCAGCGGUUCGGCCGGGGACUCAUAGGAGACUGCCGGGGUCAACUCGGAGGAAGGUGGGGAUGACGUCAAAUCAUCAUGCCCCUUACGUCUUGGGCUUCACGCAUGCUACAAUGGCCGGUACAGAGGGCUGCGAUACCGCGAGGUGGAGCGAAUCCCUUAAAGCUGGUCUCAGUUCGGAUUGGGGUCUGCAACUCGACCCCAUGAAGUCGGAGUCGCUAGUAAUCGCAGAUCAGCAACGCUGCGGUGAAUACGUUCCCGGGCCUUGUACACACCGCCCGUCAAGUCACGAAAGUCGGUAACACCCGAAGCCGGUGGCCCAACCCCUUGUGGGGGGGAGCCGUCGAAGGUGGGACUGGU